rnacentral:rRNA from 1 species
GAUGAACGCUGGCGGCGUGCUUAACACAUGCAAGUCGAACGAGAAAUGGAGACGGAACCCUUCGGGCGGAAGGCUUCAUUUCGAGUGGCGGACGGGUGAGUAACGCGUGGGUAACCUGCCUCAUACAGGGGGAUAACAGUUGGAAACGACUGUUAAUACCGCAUAAGACCACAGCACCGCAUGGUGCGGGGGUAAAAACUCCGGUGGUAUGAGAUGGACCCGCGUUCGAUUAGCCAGUUGGCGGGGUAACGGCCCACCAAAGCGACGAUCGAUAGCCGAUCUGAGAGGAUGACCGGACACAUUGGGACUGAGACACGGCCCAAACUCCUACGGGAGGCAGCAGUGGGGAAUAUUGCACAAUGGGGGAAACCCUGAUGCAGCGACGCCGCGUGAGUGAAGAAGUACUUCGGUAUGUAAAGCUCUAUCAGCAGGGAAGAAAAUGACGGUACCUGAGGAAGAAGCCCCGGCUAACUACGUG